rnacentral:rRNA from 1 species
GACAGAGGUCCCGAGCGUUAGGCGGAAUCACUGGGCUUAAAGCGUGUGUAGGCGGCUUGGUAAGUACCUUGUGAAAUCCCACGGCUUAACCGUGGAACUGCUUGGUAUACUGCUUAUCUUGGGCCACUUAGGGGCUACCGGAACAAACGGUGGAGCGGUGAAAUGCGUAGAUAUCGUUUGGAACGCCAAUGGUGAAAACAGGUAGCUGGGAGUGUGCCGACGCUGAGACACGAAAGCCAGGGGAGCGAACGGG